GACGAACGCUGGCGGCGCGCUUAACACAUGCAAGUCGAGCGAUGAAACUUUAACAGAACCCUUCGGGGCGAAGAUAAAGUGGAUUAGCGGCGGACGGGUGAGUAACACGUGAGUAACCUGCCUUAGACAUUGGGAUAGCCUCGGGAAACCGGGAUUAAUACCAAAUAAAAUCAUAAUGACACAUGUCAUAACGAUCAAAACUCCGGUGGUCUAAGAUGGACUCGCGUCCCAUUAGCUAGUUGGUAGAGUAAAAGCCUACCAAGGCGACGAUGGGUAGCCGGCCUGAGAGGGUGAACGGCCACAUUGGAACUGAGAAACGGUCCAAACUCCUACGGGAGGCAGCGGUGGGGAAUAUUGCACAAUGAAGGGAACUCUGAUGCAGCGACGCCGCGUGAACGAAGAAGGCUUUCGAGUCGUAAAGUUCUUUUAUAUGGGAAGAUAAUGACGGUACCAUAAGAAAAAGCCCCGGCUAACUACGUG
rnacentral:rRNA from 1 species